AUGGACAUCUUUGAUAUGAUUUGGAGGAGGAGGAAGGAUGCAGAGAGAAAGGAGAGGUAAAAAUGUUGUACAUCAGCUCUCAGUAACCCCAGAAGACAUAUAAUGGUGCAACAAGAAAACUGGCUCUGCAAACGAAUGUGAUUUGUGACAAAUGCGAAGGUAGAGGAGGUAAGAAAGGAGCAGUAGAGUGCUGUCCCAAUUGCCGAGGUAACUGGAAUGCAAAUAAGAAUUCAUCAGAUAGGACCUGGAAUGGUUCAGCAAAUUCAGUCUGUGUGCAUGGAGUGCUAGGGCCAUGGGGAGUGGAUCAGUCCUAAAGAUAGAUGUAAAAGUUGCAAUGGAAGGAAGAUAGUUCAAGAGAAUAAGAUUCUAGAUGUUCAUAUUGACAAAGGCAUGAAAGAUGGCCAGAAGAUAACAUUCCAUGGUGAAGGAGACCAGGAACCAGGACUGGAGCCAGGAGAUACAAUCAUUGUGUUAUAUCAGAAGGACCAUGCUGUUUUUACUCGAUGAGAAGACUUUUUCAUGUGUAUGGACAUACAGCUGGUUGAAGCACUGUGUGGCUUCCAGAAGCUGGUAUCUACUCUUGACAACCAAACCAUAGUCAUCACCUCUCAUCCAGGUUAGAUUGUCAAGCAUGGAGAUAUCAAAUGUGUACUAAAUGAAGGCAUGCCAAUUUAUUGUAGACCAUAUGAAAAGGGUCGCCUAAUCAUCGAAUUUAAGGUAAACUUUCCUGAGAAUGGCUUUCUCUCUCCUGAUAAACUAUCUUUGCUGGAAAAACUCCUACCAGAGAGGAAGGAAGUAAAAGAGACUGAUGAGAUGGAUCAAGUAAAACUGGUGGACUUUGAUCCAAAUCAGGAAAGACGGUGCCAUUACAAUGGAGAAGCAUAUGAGGAUGAUGAACAUCAUCCCAGAGGUGGUGUUCAGUGUCAGACGUCUUAAUGGGCCAGUGAAUAACACUCACUGCUGGCAUUUCAUGUGCAGUAGUUAAGGAGUAAGGACUGUAAUCAUAAUAUGCUCACUACUUGCUCUUUUGUUAAUCAACUAUAGUAGUGUUUUAAAAAGUUAAAUGAAGAAUAAAGGCAAAUAUAAAAGCUCUGACCUUGCCCUGUAUGUAUGAUGACUUCAGUGUGCAAAAUGAAGUUUAAUACCUAUAAAAACUACUUUACAAAGAAGUUCCCCUAGCAUUGUUAGGCCAAACCUUGUAAUUGACUUCAGCUAUGUAUGUGGACAAGCUUAGACUGAAAUGCUAGGUAUAUGUACUGGCUUCAGUGUAUGACCCUUCACUGUUAAGCUAUGAAAGUAAAACUGUAUUUAACUGGCAAUAAGAAAAAAAAAGUUGUAGAGAA